GAGAAAGGUUGGUCUAGUUUACUUAUUACUGGAUUAAAAACCACUCCCAAACUUAGUUACAUACCCAAGCAUUUACUUGGCCCAUAAUCUUGUGGGCCAAGUAUUUGGAAAGGGAUGGUACUUACUAUAACUUGGAAAGGCUUGCAACACGGUGCCUGGCCAGGUAUCUGAUCUAGUGAUUACUAAACUAGUCCUUUAAAAGAAAGAGAAAAAGAAAAAAGAGCUAGGAAGUAUAUAAAAGAAAAAAUGUGGGGUUAUUACCCAGAGAAAGACCGAAUUGUUAACUGCUUAUUUUCCUCCCUUGAAUACGUAAAAUUAAACUCAGUCAUAUUCUGCAGCCGGAACCAUCGAGCCCCCUACUGGCCCUUGGACAGAAGAAAGUGUUUCGCCAGGAAAAGCAGCUUUAUGUGGUUGGUUCAUUUUUGGAUGGUGGAAAUACCCCAAGGAGAGUUUAAAGUUCCAUCCUCCAGGUUCCUCCCUUUCCCAUGGUCUCCUUUCCGUGGAAACAUCAAGAUAGGCAGCAAGAAAGCACAGCCACUGGCAGCCAAGUCCUUAGCACCUUAGCCCCCCCCCCCGCUACCGGAUGAGGUACGCAGUCAAUGGACACCCCCCCCAUGACUCUGCGCCAGGCCAAUCAGCGCGUCGGUUUGGCCGCUGGGUCCGCCCCCCUUACGAAAACUCUGUGGCCUUUCAACCGCCAGGCGAGGAGCGCUGGGGACGGCGGCUGAGCCAGUUAUAGGUCCGGAGCGUUGGGGACGGCGGCUGAGCCAGUUAUAGGUCCGGUCCGGUCCGCUUUGCCUUGUCCCCCCCGUUAGCUCUGCUCUGGAAAGAACAUUUCCAGGAGAUGGGGAAAGAAAAGCCACAGACAAAUUUAAUUUCACCUGGUGAAAGGGAUGAGAUGUAGUUUUCAGUAGCAAGUCUGUUGAUAGGGGUCACCAAGAUGCCUGAAGCAGCCUAGUGCCUCAGGACCAUGAGAAUUGCUUUCUGCACACCCAAAAUGCUGUCAACUGGAGUCAGCUUCCUGAGUGACUGGAUCUGCAUGGCUGCUUGCUCAGGCCCUGGGAGAUCACCACAAAGCACCCAGGUGAGGUCUGAUGGUUGUGCUGCUGCCUUCUAAACCUGGGGACGUGAGUUAGUGACAAAGCAGGAUGAAUCCCUGAAGUGGCUAAAGUCAAUGAGAUUGAAGAAAACCUGGGAAGCAAGGGAGAAAGGAGAGAAUCAGCACGCCUUCUCUUCAGGAAGCACCAGGCUGCCUGCAAGUUGCUGAGAAUGCAUUUCAGUCCUCUAUACAACAUAUCUACUUACAGGCUACAUCACGGAGAUGUUCUGGAGGAAGCAGACAACGAAAACAAGAACAUUUAUUUUAUGAAGAACAAUAAAACUAUAGAACUGUAGAACUGGGAGCAUCAAACUCCUUAAAACUCUGGGGAUUUAGGUUGUGGUUAUCACUGUCUAUUUCUUCGGAGUGUGUUUCUGUGGCAAUGUGAAGAUUUUUCUUGGUUGCCGUUGCUGCUGGGCUGCUGACCAUCACUCUCCUCUCCAGACACAUGAGGACUCUUUUUCAGAGCCAGCAGAAGGCCUGCCUAGUUAACACAGGUUGUGGCUGUGUGUAAAAUCCAGUGUUGCCCUCCUCUGACUCCCCCGAGGAGACUGAGGGGGACCCAUUGCUGCUGGUCUUCAGCAUCAAGAGGAUGAGUUAGACAAGUGUAACCUCCCAGACGUGCAGCCAGUGUUUACUCAUUUAUGGAAUUCAGUCCCUUUUACUUGAAAUAGCCCAACUGUAAAUGGUCAGUUCAGAAAUCAGCACUGAAGCUCAGAGACCCUCAAAAAAUGACUAUUCUUUUUGUUUCUUUUUUUGGCACAGUGAUUCACCCUUGUCUUUCUUCCUACCCUCCAUGUCUCUCUCAGUGCGACUUGUUGUUUUACCUACAUUUGCUCCCUAACUCUUUCCUUGCUGUCCCCCUCCCCUGUGCAUCCUGCUAGAUACCCAGGGUCCAGCCCUGCUUCACAGAAAACAGUGUUGCCCCACGCUGUCCAACCUGGCUCAUCCACUGGGUCUCUCCCAUCCUCUCCUGGGAGGCAGCUCUGUGCUCACCUCACAUGUUUAUCUUGUAGGAGCAUCGCUGGUAUCUGUGGGACUUGUGUGACUUCUGUAUUUUCUGGCUUGCACGCAGGCAGGUUCUCAUGCGUAUUGUGUUCUUCACAUGGGACCUGAGCUGGAUGAGGAAAGGAGCUGCUGCCCAGCUGGAUCUCUUCCUAAAGUGGUUCUUGGAGCUAGACAGUGUCACCUUUUCCACAACUAUGACUUUGUUUAUCAGGUUCCUGAGGUUCUUCAUUGUUUUGCAUUUCUUCCUUCUCUGUGUGGCACUCACUGUGCUAUUUUCCAUCAUGCUCAUUAGAAUCAGGUAGCGUGGUGUUUUGUUUAUAAAGCUCUGCAUAGUCUUCUUCAUUGCUCUGUGUUCUUCAUUGUUCUUGAGCUCCAUGUCCCUUUUCUUCAGGUGGUUCCAUCAGCAUACCUUCAUCUUAGUUUUCAGCUUUCAAUUUAUCAGCUUCACUGCUUUCGUUUUCCUCCAUUUUCUCCUCAUUGUUGCCAUCUUAUUUUGUUUGUUUCUCAGUAGGUUCAGGAUUGACAAGCUGAAUUUCUGUCCGGCCAUCCACAGGGUCAAUCCAUUGCCCUCUCUAUGUUGGGUUUUUGUUUAUCUGCUGGUCAUCAGCAGCAACAGUCUGAUGAGCUCCUGCGCCUUCACUGUCUGAGUCUGUGUCCUUAUCCUCUUUCAAUCAGUGCUUGGUACACACAUCUGCUUUGUGUUGUCCGCAGGGUCAGAUCUGUUGUUCACGCAUUUUCCUAGAGUUUGUGCGUCCUCUGUUCUUCAACAGUAAUGAGGUUGUUGACUGUAGAACCUAUAAUACAUCCUUCACAGGAGGUUGUCAUCUCCCAGCAACAGACGUAACUUUUGAAGGAAGUUUUAGUUUCUUUGUGUAACGUAGGGGAGGCAGGGUGAUCCUCCUUUGCAAGGCUGUCUGUUGAAUUCACUUUCAAAUGGGACUGCUUUCAUAGCAUUGCUAUGAAAUUGUAGGGCUGUGUCUUCGCCCUUUGUCCAGUCCUGAAGCUUCAGAAGAAAAUGAAGAAAAGACACUGGGGAGAAGAAGAGUCAUGUACUUAAGUAAUAAAAGAAGAGUAUGUGUGUGCGCUCAUGUGCGCGCGAGUGCACACGCACACACACACACACACACACACACACUUUUCCACUGUGCAGUGCCCUACCCUGGUAGCUGCUCACCUGAAAUACAAGCUCUCAAUCUCAGUCGUGAUGAGGUGAUGUGAGAAAUCCUUCAUAGUCAGAGUCUCUGUGGCCAAGAGAAAACACAAGUCUGUGGUCUGUAACUAGUAAUUGCCAUGGCAGUGUCAGAACCAAGUGAUUAUGGAAGACAGAAAAGAGAGGAAAGAGGGGCAAGAGUCUAUAGGGUUUAUUCACUUUCCUCUAAAGUGUGCUAUAUGCAUACCAUUUAGGUUAAAGAGCACUUCUUUUGUUGGCAGGAGCAUCAAUGACAUGUGGGUCACUUUCCUCUUUCAUUGUGGAGUCUAAAAUGAUCUCUGUGCUCAGGGAAUUCAUAUCCUCUUUGAGGAGAUACAAAUCAAGAGACUGGCAGAGGCCAGGGUGUACUUGCAGCAGAAGAGUUUACAAAUAAUAUGAGAGGGCUUAGAAGGGCACCUCAUGCUGGCAGGCUGGGAGUGGGCAGGAGACCAGGACUAACCAUGGAGACAGAUGCCUUCUGAUGUGAAAGCUUGAUGAGGAAACAGUAGGGACACAGCCAUGGGGGCACACAGCUAUGAUCUCACCACUUGGAAGGCUGAGGAAGUGGGAUUAUGUGCUCCAGGCCAACCUGGUCUACACAGAUAGUCUUGGCCUCAAGGGGAAACAACAAAGGCUGUAGGUGAUAUUGGAGAAAUAGAACUCCCAACCUGCUAGAUGUUUAGAUGUCCUGAAUUUGUAUGCUCCAAAAUUAAGGAAUAAAUUUCAAACAACAGCGGCGCUUAAGAAUAGGAAAGGUUUAUUGAGAAAUAGGAGGGGUCUCGGGUAGGUGCCUUUGAGGCUCUUUGCUGUCAGCUGUAAUUUAUACAGCAAAGUCACAACGUGGGUAAAUCAUGGGUCAAACUGUAAUCCACCUAUAGGGUUACAAAUAUAGUUGCUUAGCUAAUAUUUAUCUACUAUGGAAAUGAGUUACAUAACAAGAAUAUAUAGAAGGAACAGAGGCAUGUUUGGGAAAGGAUGGGUCCAGUUGCUCCGGUCACCCACCUGGGCAUCUGAUGCCCAACUGGACUCAGUGGACCAGGAGGUGCUAAUUACAGAGUAAUUCCAUUUUACUGUUUAUGCAUUAGGGAGGUAUUCGAGCCUGGCUAUUGCAUUUCUGUCUUGAGGCCUGACCUUUUUCGGAGGUUUCUACAUCCACAAUUUUGAUGUCUCUAUUUUUCUGCUGACUUCCUUGAGAGCCCCGUACCUCUCAGACUGUAUAUUUACUCCCACAUAACUUAGCUUCCUGUGAUAUAGGCAUGUGGGAGAGGGUACAAUUUAAUCAAGAAUGCUCAGGUGAUGCAGCUGUUGUGUGGGGUGAUCAAGUGCAGUCAGUACGUGGAGUCAGUGAGGUUUCAGUAGACCUCUCUUUCUACCUGUGCUGAGGAACAUGGGUUAUUUGCCCUAAUCCAGCAAGGAUGAUGGCACUCAUGUGUUGGGCAUCCUCACAGACAGUUCAGAAUACACUGAAAUGUUUCACAUGAUAGAAAACCCCAAGUCCGAUCGCCUUAAGUGCAUGGAAUUUACUGCUGAGCUCCACUGAGUGUGGGGUCUGUGGGUUUGCAGCAGAGGAGCCAGAGUGCAUGUAGUAGAAGAAGGAUUUAGGGGAGAGAGGGGACAGUGCAUUGGCUGCAACUUGAGACUGCCAGGGUGAGAAAAUAUGGAGGGCAAGAGCGUCAAGGGGAGAUCCUGCACCCAUCUGUCAGGGUUGCAGCCCUUUCCUCAUGCUUCUCCUUCCCAGGGUAACUUCGCACCACAUCCACUGUGGGUGAUCUUACAGGUGAGACAAAGCUCCACUUUUCCACAGAAGCAGCCACCGAGCCCUUGUUUCUGAGACAGUUCUCAUGUCUCUGUUGCUCCAGUGCCUCUCUCGUCCAGUGCUUUCAUUGUGUUUGUAAUCUCAGCCUGAAAUCCCCCUUCAGGAUCCCCUUCUGUGACUCCUCUUUCCUCUUAUGGCACCACCCCAUCCGUCUUUCAGCAGCCUGGGGGCCGGGCCCUCCUGCAGAUCCAGGUCAAGUUCACACUCUCACAGAGAUGUUUUCCUCUUGUUUGGCUCAGGUAGAACCUUUAUGAUUUCUGCUACUAUCUAGGAAUUAUCCUCCAGCUGCCUUUUCCCAGCAUCUUUUUGUAAGUGUCUCUGGAGCCUGGCUGACUCCCUCCAGCUGCUUUCUGUGUCUUUCCUCAUUAUCUCUGUCACUAGUUGAGGGAACAGUUUACUUCUCUGCCCUGUAGCUGAUUCUUGCUUACCUGAUUGGAAUGAACCUUCCUGUUCUUACACAUAGCCCUGGCAGUGUGUAUUGGUUGAAAUCUUAGCCAAACAAUUGGACAUAAUUUCCCCAAGUCCCUAUAAUUCUAUACUGUAGACCCUUGGGCUCAGUAGUACCACUUCUGAAGAGGUAUCCUGAGCAAAUAUAUGCAGUGAAAAGUGUAAGCAAGCAUACUCAUUACUUUAUUAUUUAUACCGGUUUGAAAUGACCCAGUUGUCAACAUGGGAAAAGAAUAAAAGACAUAUCAAAUUCAAAAACAAAACACAGUCUGUCAGAUGCUUACCAGUGAUUUUUGUCUAGAUAUCUCUGGUGUUACCUGUGUUUUUCCCUACAGUACCAAUGUCUUUCUUUUUUUUUUCCUCUUGCCUAUUCUGCAUUUUACAUCUGCCACAGACUUGCUGCUCCAUCUAUUGGAUGUAAAGGAAUUAAGGAAUUAACAUAUAUAGAAAUUGUCCCAGUGAAAGGCCCUGGUGGUCGAAAAGGGACCAUUUCUACAAAGAGGUCAAGUGAUGGAAUUGACAUAUUUAAACCACUCUCGGGAGUAGGCAUGGUCAGGAAGUGUCAAACGUUGAUCCUUGAGUAUCUCUUUGAAAAUUCAGUCUUCUGGUGAAAAGACCUUGAGGAUGCUUUGUAGAUGCUUUUCUGGACACAGACAGCAUCACAGGAUGUGUUAGACUUGUCCUGGAUGAAACAACACUUAGGCAAACACUCAUAGGAGAUCAAAGAAAUGAAGAGGCAUAAAUAGACCAGGUGGAAAGAUGGUACAGGGAGGUUUCCUUGCAUGUAGACUAUUCCCUUUCUUCCAGGAAAAUGGAAUAGCAGGUGUUUCUGGGCCCCGCAGCACAGAGACCUGCUGCCGAGAGGAAUGUUCCAGCCCAGAGCCUGACGCAGCUAACUGAACAAGCCCAACACAACCCCUGAAAGGCUGGUGGCUGAUGAAGAGCCAGGCAACAGCUCGCCCUGUCCAGAAAAAGUGGCAGCACCAUCGUGCAUCAUUCACGCGUACUUCUGAGCUUCAUUUCAGUGUCAUUUGUAUGUAUUUUGUACAUAGGUGAAGGUAGACUUCCCAGGUGCAAAAUCAAUUGUGAGGCUAUUUCAGCAAAAGAAAGCAAAUUCCGUACCAGAAAGGGGCUGGGUGGAGGGCUGAGAUGGUUUGUCUCGCACAGAGCUGAGCCUCUGCAGCAACCUCAUGAUGCACUCUUGGCCUUAGCCACUGACACAGCCCAGCCUCUUCGGGAAAGGUGGUUCCCUUCACCUUUCUUUUCUUUUCUUUUUUAGUACUGGAGAUCGAACUCAGGACCUUGCACUUGCAUAGCAG